rnacentral:rRNA from 1 species
GACGAACGCUGGCGGCGUGCGUAACACAUGCAAGUCGAGCGGUAAGGCCCCUUCGGGGGUACACGAGCGGCGAACGGGUGAGUAACACGUGAGCAACCUACCCUCAACUUUGGGAUAAGCCUCGGAAACGGGGUCUAAUACCGAAUAUCACUCCUUGUUUCAUGGCGGGGGGUUGAAAGUUCUGGCGGUUGGGGAUGGGCUCGCGGCCUAUCAGCUUGUUGGUGGGGUAAUGGCCUACCAAGGCGUCGACGGGGAGCCGGCCUGAGAGGGCGACCGGCCACACUGGGACUGAGACACGGCCCAGACUCCUACGGGAGGCAGCAGUGGGGAAUAUUGCGCAAUGGACGAAAGUCUGACGCAGCAACGCCGCGUGAGGGAUGACGGCCUUCGGGUUGUAAACCUCUUUCAGCAGGGACGAAGCGAGAGUGACGGUACCUGCAGAAGAAGGACCGGCCAACUACGUGCCAGCAGCCGCGGUAAGAC